rnacentral:lncRNA from 1 species
AUGUGCUCUGACCCUGCGUGUGGCCGCAGAGGGAGCAGGACAGUCGGGACGUUGUGUGUGGCAUCUGCAUGGAGAGGAGGUGGGACAAGCCCGAGGCUGAGCGGAUCUUCGGCAUCCUGCCCAACUGUAGCCACGCCCACUGCCUGGGCUGCCUGCGCACGUGGAGGAAGGACCCCCAGAACUUCCCAUCAAGUCAGUGUCAGGAGGAGCCGGGAGGGAAGCCCCUCAGAGAGGUCUGGGCUUGUGACUAUUCUCCCACCCCACCACCCCCACAGGGCCUGUCCCCAGUGCCGGGUCCAUUCCAGCUACAUCAUCCCCCACAAAUUCUGGGUGAGCAAAGGGGCUGAGAAGGAGCAGCUCAUCAGGAACUUCAAGGCUCGGACCAGAUCCGAUGCCGAUUCUUCAUGCAAGCGAAUGGCCGCUGCCCCUUCAAGUCGGAUUGUAUUUAUCUGCACCAGCAACCGGAUAAAGCCCUGACUUCGGAUCCUCCCUGGACUGAGAGUAUGCAGCUGACCCCUGGGAGUGAGAUGGCGCUGGGCCCAGCAGGGUUUCUAGGGCGCACCGAACAGGAGAACGAAGUGUUCUUCAUGAAUUGUGCCUUGGCCAUGACCUUCUGGGGUUCAGAACUCUUACUGGGUCCCGAUACUUCUUACCUGGGCCUUCUGUAACCAGGAUCAACAUGUGGGGGAUAGAGCUGAGAGGCAGGGAUUGCUAGGUGGUAGGUCUUUUCCCUUUCAGGGCUUGGUGGGGGCUGAAAGUAGCAAGCCCUCCACGCCCAUGGAGCACAGCAGACACAGCUGGGGACCAAGGGAGGAGGUGGAGGGCUCUUGUGAAAGAGAAAGGGUUUACUCUCUUGCCAGGGACUUGGUUUUUAACUUUGCUCUUUUGUAGGAUUCUGAAAGAAAACCAAUAAAAUGCAUCUAGGCCAUCACUGCUGGUAUCUAAAGCGUGUCUGCUCAUAGCCCGGAUGCCCUCCCGCUGACCAAGGGCUGUUUCCACAUUCAUUCUGUUGCAAUAUCACCUGUCAUUAGCCUCUGCAAAACUUCACUUCAUGCUCCUAAG